rnacentral:tRNA from 2 species
GGAGGAGUGGCAGAGUGGUCGAUUGCACCGGUCUUGAAAACCGACGUACGUGAAAGCGUACCGUGGGUUCGAAUCCCACCUCCUCCGCCA